GUUGACCCAAAGGUGGUGAUGCUUCUUUUGACUUUCCACAUCUAGAUAUUUUGCCUAGUUUUUAGUUUCUUCACUUGAGUGUUAUUUGGAAUUUGAGACCACCUAUGAUGCACGUCCUGUGCUCCCAUUGUCAAGUGUGUCUUAUGGAGAAAAGGUCCAUGAUAAAAUUAUUUCACUCUUUUUCUUUAGUGAAAAUUUUGAGCCAUUGCUAGCAGGAUCAAAGUCAUUAUGACUUCUCGCUUGUUGCAGUGCUGUUAUGAUGGUAUCUGUCAGUGAGAGAUAUGUUGGAAACAUUAGACGUUUCCUCUUUGUGUGUGUGCAUAUGUGCAUGCAUCUUUCCCUUGCUAUACUCUUUAUUCUCUCUCUUUCUUUUAUAUGUUUUAUUUUGUUUGACUGUCCAUUUCAAAUAAAUGCAAAGCGGAUCAUGGUCAUUCACUACUUUUAAAGCUUUAAACAUUUGAUCGCCAGUUUUUUUUUAUCUUUCGUAUCUUUUUAUUCUUAACCCCAAUGUAUUGAUUUUGGGUUAUUUAUUAUCUUAUAUAGCUAGAUGCCAUCUCCUCUCUCUCCUUCCUUGUUCACUACUUUUUAAGUAUUGAAUAUUGAUAACCAAUUUUUUCUUUUAAUUUUCUUUUCCUUUCCCCCUGUUUUGAUAUUGGGUUGCUUAUUAUCUUAUUUAGCGGGAUUAAAAUGCUUUAUCUUAAGCUUGUAAUAACUUAUGUGCAUUUAAAUGUUCAGGAUUGUGCUGGAGUCAUACUCU
rnacentral:misc_RNA from 1 species